rnacentral:lncRNA from 1 species
CUUCCUUCCCUUCUUUUCUCUUCUCCACUUUAGUGUGUGUGAAAUCUUCCAGAAAACUUGGCACACGGUUCCAGUCGGUGGGAGUCACUUUUCAGAAUUGUUGCAACUUUUGGAGAAGGUACCAAUUUGUGUUUACUGGGAUGAGAAAAGAAAAAAGAAAAAUUUUUUUUAAAAAUGCAACAUCUCUGUCCACUGGUCUGCUGGGGAAGAACUCAGCUAAACUCACGUCAGGUAUUUUUAUCAACGAACUCAUCAAUCAAAAAUAUUGCCACAGGUUCACGGUGACCUAGGCUGCAGUCGCCAGGCAUUUACCCUCCAGAUGCGGAGCAGCUGCCAGGACUUUUCUUCAGGAAGAUGUGACUAGUCUCUCUCUUCUUUAAGUCACAUUUGAGAACAUUUUUUUUCUAACUAUUUAGAGCAUCUCUUUAUCACCCAGGCCAUCUGAACCUGUUUUAAAUUCUCUCAGAGUAAAACUGAAAUUUAUACCUGUCUCGGGUACCAGCCUAAGAAACUGAGAAAAAAAUAAAACCUUCGGCCUCAUUUCUCUCUGGGUAGACACCAGAGAGUGUCUAAGUUGUUCAGGCAGACUGGCUUGUUGGAGAAGGAGCCAGUGUCAUAGCGGGGAAAUCUGGUUACUGGACAAGAUCUGACAUUGAACCGACUCUGACUGGGAGGUGACACAUCUAUGCCAUCCUGUCACAGUCUGAUGUCUACAGUCAUGAGAGAGGGCACAGACACAACUCUGCAGCACUAUUUCUACUCUUACACUGGAAAGGCUUCAUCAGAAGAGAGAGGAAGCUGGAGGUGGUGCUGGAGAAUCCAUG